rnacentral:rRNA from 1 species
GACGAACGCUGGCGGCGUGCCUAAUACAUGCAAGUCGAGCGAAGUUUUUCUGGUGCUUGCACUAGAAAAACUUAGCGGCGAACGGGUGAGUAACACGUAAAGAACCUGCCUCAUAGACUGGGACAACUAUUGGAAACGAUAGCUAAUACCGGAUAACAGUAUUUCUCGCAUGAGAGAUAUUUAAAAGUUGGUUAUGCUAACACUAUGAGAUUGCUUUGCGGUGCAUUAGCUAGUUGGUGGGGUAAAGGCCCACCAAGGCGACGAUGCAUAGCCGACCUGAGAGGGUGAUCGGCCACACUGGGACUGAGACACGGCCCAGACUCCUACGGGAGGCAGCAGUAGGGAAUCUUCCGCAAUGGGCGAAAGCCUGACGGAGCAACGCCGCGUGAGUGAAGAAGGAUUUCGGUUCGUAAAGCUCUGUUGUUAGGGAAGAAUGGAUAUGUAGUAACUAUACAUGUAAGAGACGGUACCUAACCAGAAAGCCACGGCUAACUACGUG